CGGGUGAGUAAUGCGUGACCAACCUGCCCCAUGCUCCAGAAUAGCUCUUGGAAACGGGUGGUAAUGCUGGAUGCUCCACUUGACGCAUGUCUUGUUGGGAAAGUGUUUAGUGGCAUGGGAUGGGGUCGCGUCCUAUCAGCUUGUAGGCGGGGUAAUGGCCCACCUAGGCUUCGACGGGUAGCCGGCCUGAGAGGGCGGACGGCCACAUUGGGACUGAGAUACGGCCCAGACUCCUACGGGAGGCAGCAGCA
rnacentral:rRNA from 1 species